rnacentral:rRNA from 1 species
AUUGAACGCUGGCGGCAGGCUUAACACAUGCAAGUCGAGCGGGGUGAGGUGCUUCGGUACUGAUCCUAGCGGCGGACGGGUGAGUAAUGCUUAGGAAUCUGCCUAUUAGUGGGGGACAACAUUCCGAAAGGAAUGCUAAUACCGCAUACGCCCUACGGGGGAAAGCAGGGGAUCUUCGGACCUUGCGCUAAUAGAUGAGCCUAAGUCGGAUUAGCUAGUUGGUGGGGUAAAGGCCUACCAAGGCGACGAUCUGUAGCGGGUCUGAGAGGAUGAUCCGCCACACUGGGACUGAGACACGGCCCAGACUCCUACGGGAGGCAGCAGUGGGGAAUAUUGGACAAUGGGCGGAAGCCUGAUCCAGCCAUGCCGCGUGUGUGAAGAAGGCCUUUUGGUUGUAAAGCACUUUAAGCGAGGAGGAGGCUACCUGGAUUAAUACUCUGGGAUAGUGGACGUUACUCGCAGAAUAAGCACCGGCUAACUCUGUGCCAGCAGCCGCCGUAACAC